rnacentral:lncRNA from 1 species
CAUUCGCCACUCAACAAGUAUGUUUUGAGCAUCUCUUUAGAGUCAGAUACUUGAGAUGUAACAGUGACCAACACAGACACGGCCCCUGUGCUUGGAGUGUUUAUAUAUAAUAUGAGAGACAGACAAGUAACUCAAAUAUAGUACAACAUAACUAGUGCUAUUCAGGGUGUGCACCAUACACUAGCAGGGCACACAUCAGGGGCACAUAAACUGGACAUGGGGAAAGGAGUAAAGCAGGGAAAGCUCUGUGACAUCAUAGGGGUAGGGGUGGGGGGUCCAGGAUUCCUGAGAACAGGAACAGCUUAUGUACAGUUCCUGAAACAAGAGUACUACUGUGCUCCUCAGUACCACUGCUGGAAUGUGGAGCAUCAAAGCGCAGUUGAGGCAAGAGAGCACAUCAACCUGUGGGUUGAAGCCAGGUGUCAGCUAUGUGUUCUAGCAAAGGGCCAGAUGGUAAACAUUGUAGGCUCCAUGGUUCACGGGGUUCGAUGCAUCUACUCAGCUCUCCCCUUGUGGCAGAAAAGCAGCAUAGGCAGAUUUGGAGCCAAACAGAGGAAACUAAGGAAACCUUGUCUGCUGAGAUUGGCUUCCCUAGAGAAAGCGCUGAAGCAGAGGACAUCAGAUGUCAGGCGGUGGCAGGAUAGAGAACAAAGCACAGCAAGGAGCAAGAGUGAUGUGGUGGUCUGUCUUCUACUACAAUAUGAGAUCCAUAUAUUCUCUAUGUGGAAUACAGCAGAGGCCUUGUUUCUAUUCACUGCUGUAUCCUCACUACGUCCUCACUACAUCCUCUGGUAUAUAAUGAAUGCUCAGUACAUUUUGACCCUGAAUACCCACCAUUGGUACCACCACCAUUCUAAUCGCCGAAGUUGGAAAGCUUGUGCUUUAUUGGCUCUCAACUGUCUGCCAUCUUUUGUCAGCCCCAAGACCUGUCAUUUCUCCAUCUGUGAGAGCCCUAAUAUCUACCCAUUGUGUCCUCUGUCUCCCACCCCUGCUCUACCACAUCACAUCCCACCCCACAGGUUCUAGUUCCUAAAUUACCUUCAUUGCUUCGUAACUGAUCUCUCUGCUUCUCUCUCCCUCCAAUACACUGCCAAGUUAAUUCUUCCCACCAUCACUUUCAUUUCCAAACUUCCUUAAAAACAAGAAAUGAGUCUUAUUUAUCUUGGUAUCCUCUGUGUAUGGUACUCAGUAGAUGCUAAAGAACUGUAAAAAAAAUAUUUCAUACAUAUUUAUUUAUUUAUUUAUUUGGAAAGAGAGUCUUACUCUAUCUCCCAGGCUGGAGUUCAGUGGCGUGAUUUCAGCUCACUGCAACCUCCACCCGCUGGGGUCAAGAGCUGGGAUUACAGACCUGCACCACCAAUCCUUCGCUAAUUUUUUUGAAUUUUCAGCAGAGACGAAGUUUCACCAUAUUGACCAGGCUGGUCUCAAAUUCUUGGACUCAAGUGAUCUGCCUGCCUCAGCCUCCCACAUCAUUGGAAUUACAGGCAUGAGCCACCACACCUGGCCAUUGUAUAAAUAUUUAUAACUCACCUUAGACCAUAAUAGCUAAAAAUUACUUUUAUUCUGUCAGUGUGUUGCUCAGAACCCUUUAGGAUUCCUCAACAACCAACAAGACAAAGUUCAAAAUCAGCCUAUCAUUCGUGGCCCAUUAUGAUCUGGCAAUGCCCACCUUUUGGUCCUACCUCCUCCACAUUCAUCCUUCCCUCCAUGAUAACACACCUCUCUCCUGCUUGCUUCUGCUGAUACUGUUCUUCACUCCCUUGGGACACCUUCUCUCAUCCGUUUAUUCAACUGCUACCCACUCUUCAAAGUCUGAUCAAUCCCCACUUCUCCAUCAAGGACUCUCCAAAUCAUAUCAUGCAAAAAUGAACAUCCCUGCCCUGUCCUCCUGGAGAUCUUACUGGUACCAUUAGUCAUUCGGCAUUUAGCACACCCUGACAUUCAUUCAUUCAUCAUUCAUUUAUUUAUUCAAUAGAUACUUAUCAGAUCACUAUCACAUAGUAUUAAUGUUUUCUUCCCAUACUUGUACCUUAUCUAUUUAAUUAUGUUAUAAACUCUUUGGAGGAGAACACUAAGAUUUUAGACUUACCUGAAUAUACACAUUCAUAUAUAUGUUACAUUACUGAUCAAAGAGAAUGUGGUCUGUUUCAUGCCCCCGUGUUCUUAUACAUAUUGUUUCAUUUGCCUAGAACGUCCUCUCUCCAGCUCUUAUGGUUCCCAUCUGCCAGGAAAAUUCUUAUUCAUCUUUAAAUAAACAAGUGAGUCUGAUCUCUCCCUCCUGUGGGUGUCCUCUACCAACAACAUAUCACACGUGUCCAGCUCUUACACUCAUGAUUUUUUGUCUGUCUUGUUCGGUGAAGGAUUCUCCCUCCUGAAGCCACUAACAAUAAUAUUUUAUAAUAU